CCCUUAGAUGUUCUGGGCCGCACGCGCGCUACACUGACGAAUUCAACGAGUUUAUAACCUUGACCGAGAGGUCUGGGUAAUCUUUUGAAAUUUCGUCGUGAUGGGGCUAGAUUAUUGCAAUUAUUAAUCUUAAACGAGGAAUUCCUAGUAAACGCAAGUCAUCAGCUUGCAUUGAUUACGUCCCUGCCCUUUGUACACACCGCCCGUCGCUCCUACCGAUUGGAUGGUCCGGUGAAAUGUAUGGACCGUGACAGGACUGGGCAACCGGACCUGUUGUGGGAAGUUCAUUAAACCUUAUUAUCUAGAGGAAGGAGAAGUCGUAACA
rnacentral:rRNA from 1 species